UAAUGCUAAUACCCCAUAAUACUGAGGAGUUAAAGCAGCGAAAGCUGGCCAAAAGGGGAGCUUGCGUCUGAUUAGCUAGUUGGUGGGGGUAAAAGCCUCCCAAGGCCACGAUCAGUAGCUGGUUUGAGAGGAUGAUCAGCCACACUGGGACUGAGACACGGCCCAGACUCCUACGGGAGGCAGCAGUGAGGAAUUUUCCGCAAUGGGCGAAAGCCUGACGGAGCAAUACCGCGUGAGGGAAGAAGGCCCGUGGGUCGUAAACCUCUUUUCUUAGGGAAGAAACAAUGACGGUACCUAAGGAAUAAGCUCCGGCUAACCCCGUGCCAGCAGCCGCGGUAAUACGGGGGGAGCAAGCGUUAUCCGGAAUGAUUGGGCGUAAAGCGUCUGUAGGUGGUCUGAAAAGUUUCCUGUCAAAUCCCAAGGCUCAACCUUGGCCAGGCAGUAAAGUACUUUCAGACUUGAGUGCGGUAGAGGUAGAGGGAAUCCCUAGCGUAACAGUGAAAUGUGUAGAUUUUAGGGAGAACACCAGCGGCGAAGGCGCUCUACUGGGCCGAGACUGACACUGAGAGACGAAAGCUAAGGGAGAGAAUAGGAUUAGAUACCCUAGUAUUCUUAGCUGUAAACGAUGGAAACUAAGUGCUGCCGAACGCAGUGCUGUAGCUAACGCGUUAAGUUUCCCGCCUGGGGAGUACGCUCGCAAGAGUUAAACUCAAAGGAAUUGACGGGGGCCCGCACAAGAGGUGGAUUAUGUGGUUUAAUUCGAUGCAACGCGAAGAACCUUACCAGGGUUUGACAUGCUCAGGAUUUUUCAGAAAUGGAAGAGUGCCAGAAAUGGAGCUGAGUCACAGGUGGUGCAUGGCUGUCGUCAGCUCGUGCGUUGACGUGUAUGGUUAAGUCCUGCAACGAGCGCAACCCUCGUCUUUAGUUAAAUUCUCUAAAGAGACUGCCAGUGCAAACUGGAGGAAGGUGAGGAUGACGUCAAGUCAGCAUGCCCCUUACACCCUGGGCGACACACGUAAUACAAUGGUUGGGACAAUCAGAAGCGAUCCUGCGAAGGCUAGCGAAUCUGUUAAACUCAACCUCAGUUCGGAUUGGAGGCUGCAACUCGCCUCCAUGAAGUCGGAAUCUCUAGUAAUCGCCUAUCAGCCAUGAGGCGGUGAAUACGUUCCCGGGCCUUGUACACACAGCCCGUCACAUCAAGGGAGAAGAUUCUUCCCAAAGCCGGUAGUCUAACCCUUGGGAGGGCGCUGACAAAGGAAGGGUUUUUGACCAUGAUGAAGUCGUAACAAGGU
rnacentral:rRNA from 1 species